UGCUCACAUUAUUCAAGUCUCUCGCUACUCUGUAGAAGAGUCAGCCUUCUCCAUCAGCACAUUCUCUUGCAUCUCCUGCUUUGUUCUCCCCAUUGGACUAUCACUGUCUGGAACUUAAUAUCUAUUCGUUGGCUCCCUGGUUAUUGUCCUACUAGAAGGAAGGCUGGCUCUACUCGUACUAGGUAAGAGUGUACUUCUCUACUAUGUUCCCAGGAUGACACAAGGGAACAAACUCUUCAUUUGAAGACACAUGUUAACUCUCCCUUUGGAGCUCACCAUAAGCCCUAUAAAUCAGUCAGCUCAAUCAAUGUCUUCAGUCUAUUUGCAUUGCCAAGAGUGCUACCCAUACUCAAACCGACACUGCCUCUUCAGUUUUCAACAGGAGUGAAGACAUUUCAUUGAUCUUAAUAGAAGAGAAAGAGAAAUGUAUGGGCACAAAUGCAUACAGGAUAUACUUCAAGAGAAGUUGGCCCCCACACUGAUGAGACAGAGCUGGGCAAUUUACAAAAUCAUAAAUUUUCUCAAAUGCAUCAAAAACUGAGAUUACAAGACAACCAGUGGGAGAUAUGAAAUUGGUCCAAGAAGAGCACAUUGACAAGGAGAUGGAAGAUAUGGUUUGUGGACAUGAAUAGGAAGAGACACUAUGAAGAAUCAUCACAAACUCUGAUUGGAAAUCUUAAAAAUACUUAAGUACCACUUCCCUGCCAAUUAUUCUAAAUUUCAUAAAUCUAUACCUACAAUUACACCUAUACUGUAAUCCAGUACCUCCCAUGGACUCAUGAAUUUCGGGAAACCUUUUUUAAUCAAGUUGCUUACAUAGGUAGGGGCCCAACAAAAUGUAUUUGCCUGGGGCCCCCCACAUCCUAGGGGCAGCAGCCCUGGUGCCAAAAAGCACCGGUAGAAGUUGACUUGCUCCAGUCACCACUCUUUCACCAAAGGCGACACCAUCUUGGUGCCACAGGUGAGGUCUCACUGAGCCCUCUGUACUUUCUGGGAGUUUCACCCCAACCUCUUCCAUGACUUCUCAGCCUCAUCACCACAACCUGCCUUGGAGACCACCAGGAGCGACCCUGUCAUGUCCUAUGUCCCUGGUUACCUCAGUCACCAGAAGCAGCCCAAGAAUCUGGACCAUCACUGCUAUCCCAGCUGUCAUCAUCAUAUGGCCUGUACAUUCCUAGUCUGACCCAAUGUAACACCCAAGCCCACCCCCCAGACCUUUGCCUUCUGGUGUAGGUCUGUCAUUAGCAAAAUCCUCCAUAUCCUCCCCUUCUUGCCCUGAUCUAAGAGGCAUCUCUGUUGCAGCCCUCAUCCCAUCCUCCUCAAAUCUAUAGGUUCCACAUUCAAAAUCUAACAAGUAUCCCCCACCUCUCACGACGUUCUGCUACCACUUGUAUCUGAACUAUCGUCAGAGAGGGUUUCCUGACCUUCCUAGAAAUAGCACCUCUCUUUCUCUCUGUACCCACCCCAACCUUCCUUUAUUUUGCUUCAUAACAUCAGUCCCACGCAACAUGUUAUCGGUUGUUUGGUGUAUAACGUGUCCCCCAACUGGGAUACAGGCUCCCUGAGAGCAGCUACUGCUUAUGUUUUGGCUAUUGCUGUGUCCCCAGUACCUAGAACACUGCCUGCUGCACAAUACACACUCAAAAAAUACUUGAAUACCUGACAUUCAAUAUAAACAGGAAAUUCUUACAAAGUUUUAUUACAUAGCCUAUUUUUAUCUACCUAAAACAUAAUCGUAUUU